GAUGAACGCUGGCGGCGUGCCUAAUACAUGCAAGUCGAACGCUGGAAAUCUAGCUUGCUAGAUUGAAGGAGUGGCGAGCGGGUGAGUAAUACAUAAGCAACCUACCCACUAAGACUGGGAUAAUCUCUGGAAACGGGGACUAAUACCGGAUAGGUAAUCGGAAGGCAUCUUCUGAUUAUUAAAGGUUAAAAACACUGGAGGAUGGGCUUAUGGCGCAUUAGUUAGUUGGUGAGGUAACGGCCCACCAAGACGAUGAUGCGUAGCAGGCCUGAGAGGGUGAACGGCCACAUUGAGACUGAGACACGGCCCAGACUCGUACGGGAGGCAGCAGUAGGGAAUUUUCGGCAGUGGGGGAAACCCUGACCGAGCAACGCCGCGUGAGUGAUUACGGCCUUCGGGUUGUAAAGCUCUGUUGUAAGGGAAGAACGGUAGAUAGAGAAUAUCUAAAUGACGGUACCUUACCAGAAAGCCACGGCUAACUACGUG
rnacentral:rRNA from 1 species